rnacentral:rRNA from 1 species
CCGCAGAAGGAGCCAGCGGCCGAAGGUGGGAUUAGUGAUUGGGUGGAAGUCGUAACAAGGUAGCCGUAGGAGAACCUGCGGCUGGAUCACCUCCUUUCUAGGGAG